rnacentral:tmRNA from 1 species
GGGGGCGUCACGGUUUCGACGUGUCUGGUGAAUGUGGAGUAGCGUGCCGAGGUCCCGACCCUCGUUAAUAUUCGGGAAACUUUAUAGCUGCCAACACUGAUCUGGCGCUGGCCGCGUAAGUUUCUUACCGGUCCGUCUCCUGGAUCGCCUGCCCGAGGCGGUCCUUUGAGGCGACGAUAAGUCGGGCUGGUUUUCGAGUUUUGCUACUGAGCACGAAGACGAGAUAAACAGGUAGCUGGUCGUGGGUUUGGUUGUUCGCUGACCGCUCACGACGAGACUAACAGCGAGCUACGCACGUAGAGACUCUGCUGGACCCAGAUGCGGACGCGGGUUCGACUCCCGCCGCCUCCA